UGGCCUACGGGGGGCAGCAGUGAGGAAUAUUGGUCAAUGGGCGGAAGCCUGAACCAGCCAAGUCGCGUGAGGGAAUAAGGCCCUACGGGUCGUAAACCUCUUUUGCCGGGGAGCAAGGGCCGGGACGCGUCCCGGCCCGGAGAGUACCCGGAGAAAAAGCAUCGGCUAACUCCGUGCCAGCAGCCGCGGUAAUACGGAGGAUGCGAGCGUUAUCCGGAUUUAUUGGGUUUAAAGGGUGCGUAGGCGGUCUUUUAAGUCAGCGGUAAAAAUUCGGUGCUCAACCCCGUCCGGCCGUUGCCACUUGG
rnacentral:rRNA from 1 species